rnacentral:rRNA from 1 species
CGCGGUAAUUUGACCGUGCUAAGGUAGCAUAAUCAUUUGUCUUUUAAUUGGAGACUGGUAUGAAAGGUAAAACAAGAAAUUUGCUGUCUUAAAAAAAUAAAUUGAAUUUUAUUUUUUAGUGAAAAAGCUAAAAUAAUUUUGUGGGACGAUAAGACCCUAUAGAUCUUUAUUAUUUUUAUAAUGUUGGAUUAUAAACAUAAUUUUAUUGGGGCGAUAGGAAGAAAAAAAUAUCUCUUCAUAAUAAAAGAUACAAAUAAGUAAAUAAUAAGAUGAUCCUGAAAGAUGGAAUAAAAGAAAAAGUUACCUUAGGGAUAACAGCGUAAUAUUUUUUUAGAGUUCUUAUCGAAAAAAAUGUUUGCGACCUCGAUGUU